UGGGGAAUAUUGGACAAUGGGGGAAACCCUGAUCCAGCAAUGCCGCGUGGGUGAAGAAGGCCUGCGGGUUGUAAAGCCCUUUCGGUGAAGACAAAAAGCGCCGUGCUAAUACCAUGGUGUUUUGAUUUAACUCACUAAAGAAGCACCGGCUAACUCUGUGCCAGCAGCCGCGGUAAUACAGAGGGUGCAAGCGUUAAUCGGAAUUACUGGGCGUAAAGCGCACGUAG
rnacentral:rRNA from 1 species